rnacentral:rRNA from 1 species
UACGUAGGGGCUAGCGUUAUCCGGAUUUACUGGGCGUAAAGGGCGCGUAGGCGGGCCAGAAAGUGUCUUGUGAAAUCCCACGGCUUAACCGUGGAAUUGCUCGGCAAACUUCUGGUCUUGAGGCAAGUAGGGGUGUGUGGAACUCUUGGUGGAGCGGUGGAAUGCGUAGAUAUCAAGAGGAACGCCGAAGGUGAAGACAGCACACUGGACUUGUACUGACGCUGAGGCGCGAAAGCGUGGGGAGCAAAACAGGAUUAGAUACCCCCUGUAGUCCCUGA